rnacentral:misc_RNA from 1 species
UUAACUAUUAUAUAGUACUCAGACGACACUAAUAUUCAGAGUUUGGGGGUCCUCUGGCAGGCACACACUAGCCGAAGCCAGUGGUUGAACCGGGGCCCAACGGCCUGCCAAAGCAACAAAGGUAUAAAUACAUAGGGUGGGAGAUCUACCCAAAGGGCAUGAACUCUGUAAUGAUCCCUCCGCAGGUUCACCUACGGAGA